GACGAACGCUGGCGGCGUGCUUAACACAUGCAAGUCGAACGGAAAGGCCUGCUUUCCCUUGUGGAUUGCGGGUACUCGAGUGGCGAACGGGUGAGUAACACGUGAGUGAUCUGCCCCCAACUUGGGUAUAAGCCUGGGAAACUGGGUCUAAUUCCCGAUAGGACUGCAGGGUGGUGCCUGUGGUGGAAAACGAUUUUCUAGUGGUUGGGGAUGAGCUCGCGGCCUAUCAGCUUGUUGGUGGGGUAAUGGCCUACCAAGGCGGCGACGGGUAGCCGGCCUGAGAGGGGGGACGGCCACAUUGGGACUGAGAUACGGCCCAGACGCCUACGGGAGGCAGCAGUGGGGAAUAUUGCACAAGGGGCGGAAGCCUGAUGCAGCGACGCCGCGUGGGGGAUGACGGCCUUCGGGUUGUAAACUCCUUUCGACCGCGAGGAAGCCACCUGGUUGGAAGGGUGGUGACGGUAGUGGUAGAAGAAGCACCGGCUAACUACGUG
rnacentral:rRNA from 1 species